rnacentral:lncRNA from 1 species
CAUGACUCGUUCCACCCUUUGUGGAUACUUCUACCUGUAGAAAAAAAGGUUGGCAAACUUGGUGGCAUGGUGAGGACAAAGGGCAUUUUGAAAGAACCAGUGACUGAGGUCAGAGUGGGGAGCUGGUGUUAGCUGUGGGAUUCACUGCAGCGUCCUACCACAAAGGCAAAGAAGAUGAAAAUGCAGCGUGCAGUGCUGGGCUUGAUUCCCAAGUCGCAGUCGGGCUCCCGCUAUGGGUAGGAGGCUUUACACUCAGCCUGGGUCAGCACCGGAGCAUCCAGGCACUUCAGCUCGUCUGGGUAGUCAGCUGUGAGGAUCAGGAAGAGAUCAAAGAAAGUAGAAAUGUGGGUGAGGCCAGAGAAGGAGACAAUAAUCUGGGAUGGAACAUUGAAGAGGAACACUGCCUCUGGAGAGGACUCCAAAACGAGGCCAUGACAGAGGCACCUGAAGAAGACCUCUACAUAGGCCUCAGAUAAAGAGACCUAAGAAUGGAGGAUCCUGAGCUGGCAAUAUAAAUAUGCACAAGGGCGUGACCAGCCAGGGGGUCCUUGACUGCAACUCCCUUCAAAGACUGCAAUGCAUUGGCUGUGAACCAAGUCUGGGGUGGGCAGAACAGCCUCUCCACACCCUGUAAGCCUGCCAGAUGCAAGACAUUGUGAUUUUGACCUUGUUGGAUGCUGCACCUAAAGGUGGAUGGAAGAGGAAGAGUCUUGGGGGCUACCAUCCUGGCUGGAGAAGCUGGCACGAGGCUCCCUCUUGUGGAUGCAGCAAGUCUGAGGGCCAAGGGAAGAGAAGAGUGACAUAGAAUCUCCUUUCCUUGAGAUCUUAGAAUCACGCCUGCCUCCUUACCUCCAUCCAGGACUGUUAAAAAUCUCCCAAGGCAGAGACUUUUAGGCCUACAUGUACUUAGCCUCCUCUUCCCACCUCCUGUUCAUCUCUGUUUCCAAUGUUCCACUGCCAUCACUGCCAGGAAGUUCUGCAGAGAAGAAUGAAGAAGAACCGUAUGAUCCUAAACAUGUUCUUUGAAGAUAUUAUCAACCCACCAUUGGCCUUAUUUACUGGAAUGUUUUUAUAACCUUUAUUUGACACCUCUUCCCAUCAUUUAAAAUAAAUCUGGUGCUUCCCUGAAUAAUC